rnacentral:rRNA from 1 species
UGCGUAGGUGGUUCGUUAAGUCUGUCGUGAAAGCCCCGGGCUCAACCUGGGAAUGGCGAUGGAUACUGGCGGGCUAGAGUGCGGUAGAGGAGAGUGGAAUUCCCGGUGUAGCAGUGAAAUGCGUAGAGAUCGGGAGGAACAUCAGUUGCGAAGGCGGCUCUCUGGACCAGCACUGACACUGAGGCACGAAAGCGUGGGGAGCAAACAGGAUUAGAUACCCUGGUAGUCCACGCCCUAAACGAUGCGAACUGGACGUUGGGUGCAAUUGAGCAUUCAGUGUCGAAGCUAACGCGUUAAGUUCGCCGCCUGGGGAGUACGGUCGCAAGACUGAA